AGCGAACGCUGGCGGCAGGCCUAAUACAUGCAAGUCGAACGGCUCUUCGGAGCAGUGGCGGACGGGAGAGUAACACGUGGGAACGUGCCCUUUGGUACGGAACAACUGAGGGAAACUUCAGCUAAUACCGUAUGUGCCCCCAUUCUUAGCGGGAUGGAUGGGAAAGAUUUAUCGCCAUUGGAGCGGCCCGCGUUGGAUUAGCUAGUUGGUGGGGUAAAGGCCCACCAAGGCUACGAUCCAUAGCUGGUCUGAGAGGAUGAUCAGCCACACUGGGACUGAGACACGGCCCAGACUCCUACGGGAGGCAGCAGUAGGGAAUCUUGCGCAAUGGGCGAAAGCCUGACGCAGCCAUGCCGCGUGAAUGAUGAAGGUCUUAGGAUUGUAAAAUUCUUUCACCGGGGAAGAUAAUGACGGUACCCGGAGAAGAAGCCCCGGCUAACUUCGUGCCAGCCGCCGCGGUAA
rnacentral:rRNA from 1 species